rnacentral:rRNA from 1 species
UACAGAGGGGGCAAGCGUUGUUCGGAAUUACUGGGCGUAAAGGGCGCGUAGGCGGCCUUCUAAGUCGAACGUGAAAUCCCUCGGCUCAACUGAGGAAUUGCCUCCGAUACUGUUCGGCUUGAGUCCUGGAGAGGGUAGUGGAAUUCCCAGUGUAGCGGUGAAAUGCGUAGAGACUGGGAAGAACACCAGUGGCGAAGGCGGCUACCUGGACAGGUACUGACGCUGAAGCGCGAAAGCUAGGGGAGCAAACAGG